rnacentral:misc_RNA from 1 species
UACAGAGGUCCCAAGCGUUGUUCGGAUUCACUGGGCGUAAAGGGUGCGUAGGUGGUCGGGUAAGUCUGGUGUGAAAUCUCCGAGCUCAACUCGGAAACUGCAUUGGAUACUAUUCGGCUAGAGGAUUGGAGGGGAGACUGGAAUUCUCGGUGUAGCAGUGAAAUGCGUAGAUAUCGAGAGGAACACCAGUGGCGAAGGCGAGUCUCUGGACAAUUCCUGACACUGAGGCACGAAAGCUGGGGGAGCAAACAGG